UCUUCUGAAAACUCUGGAACUGGAAAAUACUUUGAAAACAAAAUGAGUGAAACUUUAAAAAUGUUUCUCACCACAACUGAAAGGAGAAUAAGAAGGAGAGAGCAACCACAGUAAAAGGCGUCCAAGCCUUCUGGUUAAUCUGCCAUGUUUGCCAGGCCAACUCCAUGUCUGUAAUUCAACGGUCCCCUUCAUUGUAUCAGUGAUGACAUGGCAUCCACACACCACAGAGAGCUGCAGCCGGUCAUUCACUGGAGAUUUGAACCCUGCCAAACAGCCCCACCCCAUGCUCAUUUGGAAAGGCUUGCAAACAUACUCCUCUCCACAUCCGGGGCUCGGAAUGAAGUAUAACCCUGGGAGCUGCCAAAUGAAAAGCAUUACAAUCCAUGAAGAAUAUUUCUACACUAGAGAUAAAAAUAAAACAAGGAGUUAAAAUGUAAAAACUCAAUGGCAAAGCUACUUGAAAGAGGAGAAACAUAAAAAAUGGAAGGAGAACGGACCAAAGUGGUAAUACCAACAUUCAAGGCAAAUGAAUAAACAUCAGCAAAACAAAGAAUAAUUAAAUCAGUA